CAAAAAACCAAAAUAACGACCCCAGCCUUCUCAAUACUAGACAACUAUAACUCGACUACUCCAAGAAUUAAACUGAAGUGAUCGGUAAUACGUAAUGACCAGGUGUUGUCCACCUCGCUUUGCGAAGCCUUUGUUUUUGCAAUUUCGUUCACACGCAAUUGAAAGACAGACGCCGCAAAAAAUAUCAAGAAAAAAUAGUCUGCCCCGAAAUAUAUAGGAUCCAUGGUCACGUGAAGUAUAUAGCGAAAAUAUGUUUGUUUGCUGCUAUUUGUUAGCUGAAAAUCGCUGCUAGUGUACAUUGCACACAACCUGUUCGCUUUAAUGCCUGAAUGGGAGUAAGGAUUUCAUUGAUUGAGUUUAUCCUUAGUAUAUAUUGCUUUAAUUCUUGAUUGAUAAUUGUUUGGGUAAAAACGAGUCCAGAGGAACAUAUAAAAACUUGAAGCAUGUUUUCAAGUUUGCGGGUUACUCUUCGUAUUGUGAUACGGUUUUAGGAUGGAACCCCAAUGUUACCUGUUUUGACAGCUUCAUAUCUAAUUCACAUUAUCGAUUGCAACCAUUUGGUGGUUCAACACUUUGGCCCGACCCGGCAACCCGUCUAUUAGUUAACUGAGUGAUGCUACUGUUAUAAACAUUUAUGCAUUUUAUGAGGAGAAUAUUACUGUUGAUUAUAGUGUUUAAAUUCAAAUUUUCUCAAUACUACACAUCUCUUGGCAAUGAGGCUGAACAUCGAGAUAUCUCAAUCUGUCCUCCUUUUGAUCAAUUUAUUAAGAGGUGCCAAGAGUUAGACAAGAUGACGGUAUAGGUAGCUGAAGCACAAGUGAGUAGUUUGUGUGUGGAGGCACAUGAAUGUAUGGUUGGUGGUAGAUGGUUUGAUUUGGCUUCAUUGAUGCUUACUUCUGCUGAUUUGGUCUUUCCUAAAGCGUCUGAAAAAGAUCUCGAGUGCAUUUUCACUAUCAUCUGCAGUCUUGUUAAGAAGCCUGAAAGCCUUGACGAGUCACUGGAGAUUGCAAAGAUUGCCCAACAACCAAAUGAAAAACCUGCAUUGCGAUUAAAGAUCUUGUUCAAUCUGUACAACAUGUUAGAGAACCCUUACGGAAGGUUCCUUGUUUAUAUGAAGGCCCUUGAAGUGGCAGACAAUGGGAAGGUCACAGAACAUAUCAUUUCUUCCUUUAAAAAGAUAGACACCUUAUUGAAGGAAUGGAAUAUAGGGCUGCAGGAUCAAAGAGAACUUUUCCUUGCCAUCUCUAAUAUUUUGAAGGAACUCAAGAGCUCAGCUAAAGAGAACUUUAAAUUCCUGACCAAGUAUCUGGCGACGUUCUCUGGUGAGGCUACUCAUGAUAUGGAUGAGGCGAAGGAAAAAGCUACUUACACCAUUAUUGAAUUUGUCAAAGCACCAGACAUGUUUCAGGUCUUGUUCACGAAGAUUGUAUAAGCUAAAAUGAGGUUGAUGUCAAUUGUGGAUCUUGCCUCCGACGAAUCUGGCCAAGUUUCUUAUCUUUCUGUCAAGGACACUCUUCAGACAGCUUGUAGAAGCAGGGGACGCUCGCAAGGUUCUUGAUAAGAAUCGUUUGGGACAAGAAAUGGAGGAAUAUGAGAUGUUGAUGGCUGUAAGAAUUGCAGCAGUUCCAAUGCUCUCCCAACUCCAUAGUUUUUAAUACACAGUUGCCUGCGGUGCAAUUACCAUUACUCCGUACAAUUGUUUUAGUGGUUCUCGGGCUACUUAUUUUGGAUACGAAAAGGGUGGACUGGAAACACGUAGUGAGUAAGCCAGCUCAUCUUGAAGAUCUAGACAUCGAUAUGGGUUUUGAUUCAACCGGGGGACUCAAUGGUUGAGUUGUAAAAGCAAAACAAGCAAGUGUGGGUUAUCUGUUUUUUGAUAUUGAUCCGUCAAACUUUUGCUUCUUAAAGCUAGUCGUACGUAUUUCGUUCAGAAUUGUUGUAUACUUUGGAGCCUUGGAGCUUAUGGAACUUCAUUUUCAUUUUGAUAGCUCGUUGGUUUAAGGAAAAUGGAAGGUGAUAUGUGUAGUUUGAUGAGGUUGAUAUCUUGGAUGUAUUUUGUUCGUAAAAGUUCAAGUUCGAAAAUGUAUUCGUGUAGUGCAUUUUGUUUUGUAUACAUUUAGCCAUAUGAGAGAUCAUUAUCAUGUGUGUCAAUAUUUGGUAUUGCAAUAAGUAUUACUGUAUUAAUAUUGUACUU